GGCUACCACAUCCAAGGAAGGCAGCAGGCGCGCAAAUUACCCAAUCCCGACACGGGGAGGUAGUGACAAUAAAUACUGAUACAGGGCUCUUUUGGGUCUUGUAAUUGGAAUGAGUACAAUUUAAAUACCUUAACGAGGAACAAUUGGAGGGCAAGUCUGGUGCCAGCAGCCGCGGUAAUUCCAGCUCCAAUAGCGUAUAUUAAAGUUGUUGCAGUUAAAAAGCUCGUAGUUGAACCUUGGGCCUGGCUGGCCGGUCCGCCUCACCGCGUGCACUGGUCCGGCCGGGCCUUUCCUUCUGGGGAUCCGCAUGGCCUUCACUGGGCGUGUCGGGGAACCAGGACUUUUACUUUGAAAAAAUUAGAGUGUUCAAAGCAGGCCUUUGCUCGAAUACAUUAGCAUGGAAUAAUGGAAUAGGACGUGCGGUCCUAUUUUGUUGGUUUCUAGGACCGCCGUAAUGAUUAAUAGGGAUAGUCGGGGGCAUCAGU
rnacentral:rRNA from 1 species